UACGGAGGGUGCAAGCGUUAUCCGGAUUCACUGGGUUUAAAGGGUGCGUAGGUGGGAAUGUAAGUCAGUGGUGAAAUCUCCGUGCUUAACACGGAAACUGCCAUUGAUACUAUGUUUCUUGAAUUAUCUGGAGGUCAGCGGAAUAUGUCAUGUAGCGGUGAAAUGCUUAGAUAUGACAUAGAACACCAAUUGCGAAGGCAGCUCGCUAAGCCAUAACUGACGCUGAGGCACGAAAGCGUGGGGAGCAAACAGG
rnacentral:rRNA from 1 species